GGGGAAUUUUCCGCAAUGGGCGAAAGCCUGACGGAGCAAUACCGCGUGAGGGAAGACUGCCUAUGGGUUGUAAACCUCUUUUUUCAGGGAGGAAGAAUGACGUGUACCUGAAGAAUAAGCAUCGGCUAACUCCGUGCCAGCAGCCGCGGUAAGACGGAGGAUGCAAGUGUUAUCCGGAAUCACUGGGCGUAAAGCGUCUGUAGGUUGUAAAAUAAGUCAACUGUUAAAUCUUGAAGCUUAACUUCAAAAUUGCAGUCGAAACUAUUAUACUAGAGUAUAGUAGAGGUAAAGGGAAUUUCCAGUGAAGCGGUGAAAUGCGUAGAUAUUGGAAAGAAGACCAAUGGCGAAGGCACUUUACUGGGCUAUA
rnacentral:rRNA from 1 species